ACGGAAGGCAGCAGUGGGGAAUAUUGCACAAUGGGCGCAAGCCUGAUGCAGCGAUGCCGCGUGAGGGAAGAAGGUUUUCGGAUUGUAAACCUCUGUCCUCAGGGACGAUAAUGACGGUACCUGAGGAGGAAGCUCCGGCUAACUACGUGCCAGCAGCCGCGGUAAUACGUAGGGAGCGAGCGUUGUCCGGAAUUACUGGGUGUAAAGGGUGCGUAGGCGGGACGGCAAGUCAGAUGUGAAAUGUAUGGGCUUAACCCAUGAACUGCAUUUGAAACUGUUGUUCUUGAGUGAGGUAGAGGUAAGCGGAAUUCCUAGUGUAGCGGUGAAAUGCGUAGAUAUUAGGAAGAACACCAGUGGCGAAGGCGGUUAGCUGGACAAUAACUGACGCUGAGGCGCGAAAGCGUGGGUAGCAAACAGGAUUAGAUACCCUGGUA
rnacentral:rRNA from 1 species